UACGGAGGGUGCAAGCGUUAUCCGGAUUCACUGGGUUUAAAGGGUGCGUAGGUGGGCAGGUAAGUCAGUGGUGAAAUCUCCGGGCUUAACCCGGAAACUGACCAUUGAUACUAUCUGUCUUGAAUACCGUGGAGGUGAGCGGAAUAUGUCAUGUAGCGGUGAAAUGCUUAGAUAUGACAUAGAACACCAAUUGCGAAGGCAGCUCACUACACGAAUAUUGACACUGAGGCACGAAAGC
rnacentral:rRNA from 1 species